rnacentral:rRNA from 1 species
AAUUAUAUUAUUUAAAUUUUUUAGAAUCAGUAAAUUGUUUGUUUUUUUUAUAUUUUACUUAUUAGGUGAAAUUUUAAGUUUUUAAAAAAAAUUUUUAAUAAUUCUGAGAAAUUCUUUUAUUAAACUAGGAUUAGAUACCCUAUUAUAUUGAACAUUAAACUAUAAUUCUUGAUUAUUGUAAGUUAUGUUCUUUAAAUUUAAAGAAUUUGGCGGUAUUUUAGUCUAUUCAGAGGAACCUGUCCUGUAAUCGAUAGUCCACGAUAAAUUUAACUUAUUCUUAGUUUACAUAUCGUCGUGUUUUGAAUAUUUUUUUAGAAUUAAAUAUUCAUAAUUCUUUAAGGAAAAAGGUCAGAUCAAGGUGUAGCUUAUGGGUAAGCAGAGAUGGGUUACAAUUUUUUUAUUAAUGGAUUAUUUUCUUAAAUUAAAUAUGAAUUUGGAUUUGAUAGUAAAUUUAAUUAUUAAUUAAUUUGACUUUAGCUCUAAAAUAUGCACAUAUCGCCCGUCGCUUUCACUUUAAAGUGAAAUAAGUCGUAACAUAGUAGGCUUACUGGAAGGUGAGCCUAGAAAGGCAAAUCAGAGCUUGAUAGAAGCAUUUUAUUUACAUUAAAAAGUUAGUUGUGAGAUUUUACUUGAUUUGAAUUUAUUUUUUUAUUAAAAAUUUUUAUAUUAUUUUGUUUAAAAUAAGAAUAUUUUUAUUUAUUAUUAGUUUAGAAUAAUUUUUUAUUAUUAUAGUUUACUAGUACUGUGAAGGAAUAUUUUUUAUAGUUAAAAGAAGAAAUUUUUU